rnacentral:rRNA from 1 species
AUUGAACGCUGGCGGCAGGCUUAACACAUGCAAGUCGAGCGGGGUGAUGGUGCUUGCACUAUCACUUAGCGGCGGACGGGUGAGUAAUGCUUAGGAAUCUGCCUAUUAGUGGGGGACAACAUCUCGAAAGGGAUGCUAACACCGCAUACGUCCUACGGGAGAAAGCAGGGGAUCACUUGUGACCUUGCGCUAAUAGAUGAGCCUAAGUCGGAUUAGCUAGUUGGUGGGGUAAGGGCCUACCAAGACGACGAUCUGUAGCGGGUCUGAGAGGAUGAUCCGCCACACUGGGACUGAGACACGGCCCAGACUCCUACGGGAGGCAGCAGUGGGGAAUAUUGGACAAUGGGGGGAACCCUGAUCCAGCCAUGCCGCGUGUGUGAAGAAGGCCUUAUGGUUGUAAAGCACUUUAAGCGAGGAGGAGGCUCUUUUGGUUAAUACCCAAGAUGAGUGGACGUUACUCGCAGAAUAAGCACCGGCUAACUCUGUGCCAGCAGCCGCGGUAA